CUCUAGUGGCGCACGGGUGAGUAACACGUGAGUAACCUGCCCCCGAGAGCGGGAUAGCCCUGGGAAACUGGGAUUAAUACCGCAUAGUAUCGAAAGAUUAAAGCAGCAAUGCGCUUGGGGAUGGGCUCGCGGCCUAUUAGUUAGUUGGUGAGGUAACGGCUCACCAAGGCGAUGACGGGUAGCCGGUCUGAGAGGAUGUCCGGCCACACUGGAACUGAGACACGGUCCAGACACCUACGGGAGGCAGCAG
rnacentral:rRNA from 1 species